rnacentral:rRNA from 1 species
UAGCGGCGAGUGUAGCGGCUAAAGCUCAAAUUUGAAAUCUGGCACUUUCAGUGUCCGAGUUGUAAUUUGAAGAAGGUAUCUUUGGGUCUGGCUCUUGUCUAUGUUUCUUGGAACAGAACGUCACAGAGGGUGAGAAUCCCGUGCGAUGAGAUGUCCCAGACCUAUGUAAAGUUCCUUCGAAGAGUCGAGUUGUUUGGGAAUGCAGCUCUAAGUGGGUGGUAAAUUCCAUCUAAAGCUAAAUAUUGGCGAGAGACCGAUAGCGAACAAGUACAGUGAUGGAAAGAUGAAAAGAACUUUGAAAAGAGAGUGAAAAAGUACGUGAAAUUGUUGAAAGGGAAGGGCUUGAGAUCAGACUUGGUAUUUUGUAUGUUACUCUCUCGGGGGUGGCCUCUACAGUUUACCGGGCCAGCAUCAGUUUGAGCGGUAGGAUAAGUGCAAAGAAAUGUGGCACUGCUUCGGUAGUGUGUUAUAGUCUUUGUCGAUACUGCCAGCUUAGACUGAGGACUGCGGCUUCGGCCUAGGAUGUUGGCAUAAUGAUCUUAAGUCGCCCGUCUUGAAACCACGGACCA